ACAACGUGAAUAUCUUUGGAGGUCACACUCUCUCCAGGCUCUGUCCAGGUGGUUUAGGGGAGCAGAGCACUUUGCCCCAUUGUGAACACUGCCUAUACACAAUGUUGGAGAUGAAACUGGGCCUUUGAGUCUGUGCCUGAAUAUUCCUAUGACUUCUCAGAGUCCAGUGGGCUAUGACUGACAAGACAAACCAUGUAGGAAACAAUG
ensembl:snoRNA SNORA73 Small nucleolar RNA SNORA73 family